CAUUAUACGGCGAACUGCGAAUGGCUCAUUAAAUCAGUUAUCGUUUAUUUGAUAGUACCUGAUUACUUGGAUAACCGUGGUAAUUCUAGAGCUAAUACAUGCUAAAAAUCUCGACUUGCGGAGGGGUGUCUUUGUUAGAUUAAAAACUAAUGCCCUCCGGGGCUUGUGGGUGAUUCAUAAUAACUUUUCGAAUCGCAUGGCCUUGUGCCGGCGAUGGUCCAUUCAAAUUUCUGCCCUAUCAACUUUCGAUGGCAGGGUCUUGGCCUGCCAUGGUCACAACGGGUAACGGAGGGUUAGGGCUCGAUCCCGGAGAAGGAGCCUGAGAAACGGCUACUACAUCCAAGGAAGGCAGCAGGCGCGCAAAUUACCCAAUCCCGAUCCGGGGAGGUAGUGACAAUAAAUACUGAUACAGGGCUCUUUCGGGUCUUGUAAUUGGAAUGAGUACAAUUUAAAUCCCUUAACGAGGAACAAUUGGAGGGCAAGUCUGGUGCCAGCAGCCGCGGUAAUUCCAGCUCCAAUAGCGUAUAUUAAAGUUGUUGCAGUUAAAAAGCUCGUAGUUGAACCUUGGGCCUGGCUGGCCGGUCCGCCUCACCGCGUGCACUGGUCCGGCCGGGCCUUUCCCUCUGGGGAUCCCCAUGUCCUUUGCUGGAUGUGGCGGGGAACCAGGACGUUUACUGUGAAAAAAUUAGAGUGUUCAAAGCAGGCCUAUGCUCGGAUACAUUAGCAUGGAAUAAUAGAAUAGGACGCGCGGUUCUAUUUUGUUGGUUUCUAGGACCGCCGUAAUGAUUAAUAGGGACAGUCGGGGGCAUCAGUAUUCAAUUGUCAGAGGUGAAAUUCUUGGAUUUAUUGAAGACUAACUACUGCGAAAGCAUUUGCCAAGGAUGUUUUCAUUAAUCAGGAACGAAAGUUAGGGGGAUCGAAAAACGAUCAGAUACCG
rnacentral:rRNA from 1 species